AUGCGCCUCGCCUAUCUCCUCCUGGCUGCCUUCCUAAGGCAACCACAGGGCACCAUGGGGCAGGUCACUGUCACCCAGCAAGAAGGACAAGUCACAGUGAAGCAGAAAGAAACCUUCCGCACCAUCUGCACUUACCAGGCACCUAACUUUGGGGCAUUGCUGUGGUACCAGCAGAAGAAAGGCCAAGCUCCCCAACUGCUCUCGUACCAGGCAGCAGCUGGCCCCAAGCACAGUGGCCGUCUGACCAUGCUGCUGAACACCACGGGGAAAUACAGCCUGCUGCAGCUGGAGGAAGUGGAGGUCUCUGACAGUGCCUUGUACCUCUGUGCUGUGAGAGACACCCUGGUGCAGGAGCUUGCUUGGCUGUGCAAGAAGCUGUGUGAGGGGCAGGAGAGCCCUGGUGUGUGGCCUGGCUAA